UACGAGAGGCCCAAACGUUAUUCGGAAUUACUGGGCUUAAAGAGUUUGUAGGCGGCAUGAAAAGUAGGGUGUGAAAGCCCUCGGCUUAACCGAGGAAUUGCGCUCUAAACUGUCGUGCUAGAGGAACCUAGAGGUGAGCAGAACAGAUGGUGGAGCGGUGAAAUGCGUAGAUAUCAUUUGGAACGCCAAUGGUGAAAACAGGUAGCUGGGAGUGUGCUGACGCUGGAGACACGAAAGCCAGGGGAGCAAACGGG
rnacentral:rRNA from 1 species